UACGAAGGGUGCAAGCGUUACUCGGAAUUACUGGGCGUAAAGCGUGCGUAGGUGGUUUUUUAAGUCCGUUGUGAAAGCCCUGGGCUCAACCUGGGAAUGGCAGUGGAUACUGGAAAGCUAGAGUGCGGUAGAGGGUAGUGGAAUUCCCGGUGUAGCAGUGAAAUGCGUAGAGAUCGGGAGGAACACCAGUGGCGAAGGCAGCCCCCUGGGUCAACACUGACGCUCAUGCACGAAAGCGUGGGUAGCAAACAGG
rnacentral:rRNA from 1 species